CUGAAAGGAUGUCAACAUUCCUUAAAGGAGAAUUAUUAGAAGAAACGCAUCAUCCCAUCAGCCCUUUGGUUUUGCUUUCUAGACUCUGACAGCGGCCCCACCUCUGUCGCUGGGAGCAAGUCACUAAAAAAAUCCGCGAUGCGGUCACUCUGGGCACCGGGGGCAAUCAGGGAAAGGAAGCCACCUACAGGGCGACAGAGCUGGGACCUCACACAGAGCAGCCUGGCCCGGAUUCCAGACACUAACGGACCUUCCAUUGACGGAGUCCCAGAGAGACUCAGGCUGGGCGGGCCCUGUACCCUCCCUGGGCUCCAUUGGCUCCAGUCUGUCUCCCCCCCGGGGCAGCCCGCCCUGUUCCCAGUUUUCCUGACGGGAGGGGGCUAGUCCUGGCAUGGCCUGCACCUGCUCAGGAGACCACGCCUCCACUCUCAUGAGGGACCCAGAUCCUUCCUUCCCUUCUUGGACCCUCGCACACUUUGGUGGAGAUCUUGAGCUGGAUGUAGGGAUCUUUGCACAUUUUCACUCAGCGUUCCAGAGGCAGACUUGGCGGAGGGGGGCUGUCAUUCCCCCGAGAGGACAGGAUCGCCUCCUUCUUACUUCUUGCCUGGGACUGAGGUAGCCUCGAGCUUUUAGAUCAUCGCCACAUCAGCGGUGUUGAGCGCUACUCCUGGACCCAGGGUUCAUCACUAGUCUCGACUGCGGCCUUUACCGAAGUGGCUCAGGACGCAGACCUUCAGAGGAGCAAAAACCUCGUUACCGGUGGCGUGCCCUCUGGUCUUCCCAGGACAUGGAUCCUCUUACCGCCUACGUUCUGGUCACUCACUGCAAAGCAACUUCCCGACGUGGAGACAUGCUGGGCCAGUCUUGUCUGCAUUCGAGGGGGCAGCCGGGCGGCAGGAGGGAGCAGACAGUGCACCGGUGAUCAGGCCAG